AUAUGUAAAGCUGGAUAGCAUCUAAGACUGCAGUAGACUAUGAGAGGAAGAAGAAGAGGAAGGGCUGCUCAGCUGUUGUGAUACCCAGAUGGGGCUGCUUACACCUGCUUCUGCUGAACCAGGCUGCUCAACCAAGCCAGGUGUAAACCAGUGUUCUGUAAAUGAUCAUCUAAAAUUGGUGUUCCAUCAUCGUGGGGGAAGAGCACAUUUGGAGGGAGUUGAUGCUGGAGAAGACUCAUGUGCAAUAACCUUCCUAUUAGACUCCUGAAAUGUUGAAAUGUGAUGUCGGAUUAGGCUGGAAACUCAGGUUCAACACUGGCAAAGCCUGACUGAAAGAUGCCAGUCACAGUGCUGGUAAAAGGUGGGGACUACGGAAGACAUUCUCUAUUGAAAAUGUCUCAAUUAGGUUUUCUAUAGCUAUGAAGAGACACCAUGACCACAGCAACUCUUACAAAGGAAAACAUUUAAUUGGGGCUAGCUUACAGUUUUAGAGUUUUAGUCCAUUUUUUGUCAUGGUGUGAAACAAGGCAGCAUUUAGGCAUACAUGGUGCUGGAGAGGUAUCUGAGAAUUCUACAUCUUGAUCUGCAGGUAACAGGAAAUUAACUAUGUCUUGCACAGACAUAGCUUGAGCAUAUAAGACCUUAAAGCUCACCGCCACAGUGAUACACUUCCUCCAACAAGGCCUCACCUUCUAAUAGUGCCACUCCCUAUAGGUCAAGCAUUCAAAUGCAUGAGUCUAUGGAGUCAUAUCUGUUCAAACCACCAAAGAGAGUUUCUGAUGUGCUGAGAGCUAAUGAAACACAACAAAGCACUUGAAGGGUUCCUAAGAGGACAGGGCAUUCAGCUGGGCUUGGAUAACAUCCAUGUCUCCAAUUUUAUUUCUUCCUUUAUAGAAAAUAAAAAGUCUGAAGGACACA
rnacentral:lncRNA from 1 species